GACAUACCACUUGUUGCCUCGGCGGAUCAGCCCGCUCCCGGUAAAACGGGACGGCCCGCCAGAGGACCCCUAAACUCUGUUUCUAUAUGUAACUUCUGAGUAAAACCAUAAAUAAAUCAAAACUUUCAACAACGGAUCUCUUGGUUCUGGCAUCGAUGAAGAACGCAGCAAAAUGCGAUAAGUAAUGUGAAUUGCAGAAUUCAGUGAAUCAUCGAAUCUUUGAACGCACAUUGCGCCCGCCAGUAUUCUGGCGGGCAUGCCUGUUCGAGCGUCAUUUCAACCCUCAAGCACAGCUUGGUGUUGGGACUCGCGUUAAUUCGCGUUCCUCAAAUUGAUUGGCGGUCACGUCGAGCUUCCAUAGCGUAGUAGUAAAACCCUCGUUACUGGUAAUCGUCGCGGCCACGCCGUUAAACCCCAACUUCUGAAUGUUGACCUCGGAUCAGGUAGGAAUACCCGCUGAACUUAAGCAUAUCAAUAAGCGGAGGAA
rnacentral:rRNA from 1 species